UGGGGUGGGGGGACUCUGAAAGGGUCUGAGCUCCAGACAAAUGCCAGUGAGACAUCUUUGGUUCAGGCCCUUCUGGGGAUGCUGCUGGACAGGGGUCCUGGAGAGCAGAGGGCAAGUCCUCAGCCUUAAAAGUGGGCUUUGUUGCUCCUUGCUAUGUGAUCAUAGGCAAGUGACACCCCGUCUCUGUGCCUCAUCUAAACAUGGAGAUAAAAACACCUAUUCAUGUGAGGGUUAGGAUGGAAGCUGUAGGAAGGCAGGCAUCCUGACUCUUUUGGACGGCUGUAUGCCCGGUGUCUGACCCCUAGCAGCCACUCAGUGUUUAUUGGAUCUGCAAGCAAGUCAGUGGAUGUUGCAUUUUCAUGGAACACUUAGCACAGCACCCUCCACGGUCCUGGUCCAACCAGUUUCCAGCUCUGUGGCCCCUGGUACCUCAUUUCAACUCCCUCCUGUCAUAGAUGAGAUCCACAGCGAUGCCUGCCUCCGAGCCAGCCUGGUGAAGUCAGCACCAGCAAAUGGCCCACACUCACCAUGCCCUCCACAUGGCCCAGAAGAUGGGGCAUCUGGACGUGAACAGCCCUUGGGCAGGGUGGGGACUGGAGUGCUCCCCACCAACCUGGGCCCCUGCAAGAAUAAA